rnacentral:rRNA from 1 species
CCUACGGGUGGCUGCAGUAAGGAAUAUUGGUCAAUGGACGAAAGUCUGAACCAGCCAUCCCGCGUGCAGGAUGAAAGCCCUAUGGGUUGUAAACUGCUUUUAGCAGAGAAGAAAAGCUUUCAUUAAUGAGAGUCUGACGGUAUCUGCAGAAUAAGCACCGGCUAACUCCGUGCCAGCAGCCGCGGUAAUACGGAGGGUGCGAGCGUUAUCGGGAUUAACUGGGGUGAAGGUGUGCGUAUACGGCGUUGUAGAAAUUCUGUGGCUUAACGAUAGAAUUGCCAAUGAUACUGGUACUCGUGAAUUGGGUUGAGGUUAGCGGAAUGUGACAUGUAGCGGUGAAAUGCAUAGAUAUGUCAUGGAACACCAAUUGCGAAGGCAGCUAACUGGGCCUUGAUUGACGCUGAGGCACGAAAGCGUGGGUAGCGAACAGGAUUAGAUACCCCAGUAGUC